UGUAGCACAGAAGUGUGGAGUGCCUGCUUAGCAAACUGGAAGCUCUGAGUUCAUAACCCCAAUCCCACCAAAAAAGAGAGAAAUGCUUUGAUUGGCUAUGGGAUUGAAAUUGAUUUUUUGGGGGAGGAGGUACUGGGGUUUGAAUUCAGGGCCUUAUGCUUGCUAGAUAGGUGCUCUACCACUUGAGGUGUUCCACCAGCCCCUUAAAUUUUAUUUUAUUUUAUUUUUUGGCGGUACUGGAGUAUGAACUCAGGGUCUUGUGCUUAGUAGACAAGUAUUCUUAUGAUUUGAGCCACCCCACCAGCACUCUUUCUCUCUCGAUGUUACAGCCACUAGGAGCCUGGAGCAGCAACCCCUGAAAUUUUACAUUGGCCAUUAUAAUACAACUUGGUGAUAUCACAUGCCAUCAGGAACCAUGCCACUUGCAAGGACUGAGCUGCCUGGUCCAGUGAGGUUAUUAGAGAAUUGAAAAAGGAUCAAAUAAGCAUCCUGCAUAUGGUUUUCCAGUCAUCGUGAAGUCUUAGUUACCUGCUUAGUGAGUUCACCAGAGUCCCAGGAUAAAUUACUGUUGUCAUUGAUGGCCUUGUGAAGCAGUUGGGAAGCCUUGGACCUUGUGAAUGCUAUGCAAGCACUCUACUUUUGAGCUACAUUUCUGGCUCUGUGAAAGAUAUCUUUGAAAAGUGUUUUAGAGUCUGUCAGAUCUUCUAUGUGAGUGACUGCAAACAGAAGAGGAGUGGGGUACUGUCAGUGAUUAAGGUAACACAGUGAAUAAUCAGGAUUCUGAGGAACAUUUCAUUGGUAUCUCAAAAUGUGAACUGGAGAAAGGAACAGGUAUCUCACUCAGUCAGUGCUGGGCCUCACACAUGCUAGAUGGUGUAAUGAAGAUCAGUUAGGCUCAGUAACAUUGCUCUCAACUGUCAUAGAAUGAGGACAUUCUCAUUCUCAGUCAUGCCUGGGUUAGAGGUAAGAGUGAGGUCCUUUUCACUAUCCAUUGGUGACAAUUUUUAUGAAUAAUAACAAAGCAGUAACAGAAAAGUUCAUAGCAUAAAUAUGUUAGGAUUAAUCCAGGUGUCUGUAGUAGGACACCUGGAUAUGACCAUAUUUGAUUUUCAAACCUGGCAUGAACAAUGUACCCAUAGAAAAAUGACCUUUGAAAAGGCCGUUUCCAGGCUGCAGGUGUGGCUUAACUGUAGAGCUCCUGCCUAACAAGUGCAAGGCCCUGAGUUCAAGCCCCAGUACUGGCCCCCCAAAAAAGAUAAAAUCUCAUUUUGUCCCCAAAGUUGGCUUGUUUUUAGGGAUACCUAAACCUUAAAUUAUUCUAAUGAUGUAGUCAUCUUACCAAUUCUAACGUUGCUAUUGUUUUUAUUAAAUUUCAUAGAUCAUCAAACCAGUGAAGUUCAAAACUUGGCCAAGAAUGGCUAGCUAAUAAAUCGUGGGUUCCUUUCUGAACAUUUCUGUUCAAGUUGCUCUACUUAUUCUACUGUAUUAUUUUUGUACUUUCCUACAUACCCUUGACCCUUGGGGUAUUUCUGUUCAUGAUGAAUCUGUCCUAAUAACCUUACUAUAAAUAUGUUUUUGAAGGUAUGGCUCAAGCAGUAAAGCACUGAGUUCAAACCUUAGUACUGCAAAAAAAAAAAUACAUAUUUUUACAACUUAACCACACUCCAUGAAAGAAGCUCUUUUUUUUUUUUUGUGGUACUGAGGUUUGAACUCAGGGCUUCAGUCUUGUUGGGCAGGCGCUCUACUGCUUGAGCCACUCUGGCAGCCCACAGAUUGCCUAUUGAUUCCUUUAACUGGGUACCAGGACAAGAGAUUCUUCCGCAGCAGUCUACCAUCAAGUGAACCAUUUUGCCUUAGAUAUUUCUUUACAGGUUCAGUCCCCUCCAUCUUUAGGUCUUCUGCUUCCAUUCAACUUCCCAUCUCAUACACUGAGGAUUGCGAAUCUAGGUCAGGUGAGGAAUCAUUCCACCCCUGGAACCUUUCUGGAAAGAUUGCUAUCUUUCUAAAAGAAGGGAAAGUUUUAAUUCAUUUAAGCUACAGAAUAAGUUAUAAAUUAUAAUGCUUUGUGUAAUUGAUUUUAAAGAAAACCUACUUCUUUUCAAAAGCAAACAUCUAUGUCUGUAUUUCUAUUUAUUAUUAUCUGCUCUGGUCUUACAGAUACUCUCUUCCAUCCUCUAGCAACUUUGUUAUUGGUACUAUUUUCACAUACAUUGUAUAGGUAAGUGUGAGUUGAAUAGAUAAGUGUGAAUUGGAGAGAAAAUAAUUCUAACAAGGUCAGAAUGCAGUCUUUACUCCCAUUUCCUGCAUAGGGAGCAAGAAAGGUUUCUCCCUUUUUCCCCCAUUUUUCCCCACUUUUAUCCUGUUGUACUAAAUUUCUUUCCUAAUAAGCUUUACUGUCAUUUUCACUAUUAAAAAAGAAAAAAAAAAAAACAAUGCUUUUUAAGUUACAGUUUGAAUUGUUUAGGAUAUAAUUAACCGGAGAAAAAGAAAUAUGGAUAACUUCACACACUUGAAAAUUUCCCAAUAUUUGCCAAGCAAAAGUAUAUGCUCAUACAAUGACCCACCAGAAGAGUGAUGUAGGGUGACUUAGGGAGCCCUUUGUAGAUUGUCCCCACUUAUCUUUAGCCUUGUACCACAUCACCAGUGUUCUCUCAUUUUCACAAUGCCUAUAGAAGGUAGUCUGUCCUGUGUCCUGGAAGUCACUUUGUUUCAUCUUGGCUCCUGAGCAUUGUCAAGUAUUGGGGAUUAUAAACAUUUUUACCUGCCAUUGGAUGCCUAUUGUCCCCUACACCAAAACUGAGGCAGAAUCUGGGAGUUGCUUUCAGGUACAGGAACAAUGUGGUAGGACAUGAGUUCCCUUGCCAUUAGACUCGCAUGGUGGACAACCUUCUGCUUCUCCAAAAGAUAUGCUGCGUCUUCAGAAAAUUAAUCCAACUCUUGGGGCCACUGCUACUUCCAGAGUUGUUCUAGGUGUAGCAGUGCCCCGAGAGCCUCAAGGUAAGUGGUUUGAGAGGGGGAAUACAAGUUCGUAGACAGUAUCAGCAUCAGCUUAGUAGGUAACUACCUAACUGGGCCCCAUCAGUUUUUAGGUACGAGCAGUGAGAUCUGAGGGCUGAGUGUGGGGUGGCUUGUCAAGGCUUCUCUGGGCUAGAUGAAGACUCAAGCAAACUGUGAGUACUUCGAGUACUUUGACUUUUGAAGUUUAAGGUAUUUUAGACUCCUGGCUUCACAUCUUUUAAAUAACAAAAGGGAAAUUGUAGAAGUGGGAUAGUGAAUUGAUGUUACUAGGAAUUCUAUUUGAAAAUUUUUGGAUAAGGGAGAUAGGUAAGGGUAUGGGCCUAAUGGUUUGGGACAAGAGGGAAAGAGGAUCCAUCUGGAAUCUGUUUUAAAGAAGAAAAAUAUGCAUGGUACUUUGAAGAGACUGAGCAUCAAUCCAAGAAGAAAUGUGAUCUCAGCAGCCACCAUCACAUCAUCCCCAACCCUACCCCCCAACACACACCUUGUUGACAAGGUAUAGUCCCGUCCCACCCCCCCAUGCCAGUUUCAUGUAGUUUGGGACUCAGCAUAUGCCAGACAAUUCAGACAGUGAGGGACCAGUCCAUUUAGGCCACCAGAGCAGUAUGGGAGGGAUGGUUUCCUGUAGUGUGAGCUGUAGUGUCAAGGGGGUGGGCAGCAGCAGAGGAGGUACUUGAGGCAGCAUGGGGGGAAGCAUACAUAUCCUUAAAAAGCAAAGGACACAGGAUUUUAGAACUCAUAAAGUUCCCCUAAAGUCACGGAUAGUUGCAGUUUUAUUACAUAGUCCUUCGCAGUGACUACGGUUAUUAGCAGUGAUAUUGAAAAAAAAAAUACUCACUUGCAACUUCCCUAUUUCACUUGUGACCUAUUUAUUGUAUUGAAAAUGAAGUUCAUGAACACAACCCUCAUUAUAUAUCAGAAGUCCUAAAUUUAGAUGCCAACAUUAUUAUAUACAGGCUUCCUCUCUGCCCCUUUUCUAAUUCCAAGUACCUGUGGUGCCAGCCUGUGUCCUGUCAGUGUUCCUGAAUACUUACUAUUGUUCAAUUUUUGGGUUGGUGAGAGGAGCUAAAAUUGGAAAUUGGCAUGUAUUAAGAUCCUAAAGAUUUUAGUUACCCAAAGAAUCUUAUUGUUUGGUAAGUACAGGACAUUUACACAAUAAAUACAAGUAUGGAUAUUAGAAGCCGUCUGCUUCAGCAACUUGAUUUCAAGCACUUUCUUCUUUUUAAUUGGUGGUGCUGGGAUCUCAGCUCAGGGCCUCAUGCUCACCAGACAGGCGUUCUUCACUUGAGCCACUCCCCCAGCCCAAGUACUUCUUAUUUUCCAUCUAUUAUACUUGAUGCGGUUAAGAGAAGGUAACUGAGGAGUUUCGUUUAUCUUGGAACUACGUUCAUCAGUUAAGAGGAAGCAAGUCUUUAAAUAUAGAAUGCUUCCACAAGAUGAUAACCAGUACCCAACAUUUGUUCCCUAGGGAAUAGUGCACCAUGUAAGCAAAGUCUUUGGUCAUCUAUAUGGAGUUCCAAGUGUCCCUUAGUUGUUAGGGGAUCUAGAAAGGGUGUGUUUGGCUUUGCUGUUUUUUUCACUGGCCUCUGGGAGGACCAGGAAGCUGUUCAGAUAUAUGCUACUAUGCUGAUCUCUAUGCUCAUUGUAGAGACUUACUGUAUACUGUGUCUUAUUUUGUUUUUUAGGGGAGGGGGUGGUUGGGAUUUGAACUCAUGGCCUUGUGCUUGCUAGGCAGGCACUCUGCCACUUGAGCCACACCCCUAGCAGUUUUUGCUAUAGUUAUUUUUCAAAUAUGGUCUUACAAUUUUGCUGAGGUGGACAUGGACCACCCACCAUCCUCCUAUUUAUUCCUGCCACUUAGCUCGGUUGACAGGCUCAUGCUACCACUCCCAGCCAUUGGUUGAGAUGGGUGUCAUCAGCUUUCAACCCAGGCUGGCUUCAAACCAUGAUCUUCCAGUUCUACACCACUCAAGUAGCUAGCAUUAUAGGCAUGAGCCAUGGAAUCCGGCCCUUGUAUACUGCCUUUUAAUUUAGUACAGUCAUGAUGUCAGGAGGUCCUUGGUGGGAUUCCACAAUAAAAGGUUUAAAAAAUUCCAUACCUUAUAUGAGGACAAGAGUGCACAAUGAAGUAUGUGGUAUGGUUUUGUAAUAGAAGACUGCUUGUGGGCAUUGACUUCAAGAAUGUUUGCAAAAGGUUUACAAUGAAGACAAUAAAGAAUACACUUCAUGUCAUCGGGAGGAGGAAUGAGCCUGAAGGUAGUAGCUCCUUUUGCUUGUGCUACAUGUAGUCACAUGAGCUUUGUGAUGCUACAAACAUUAAAAAGGCAAUUUGUUGAUUACUGCCAGCUUGAAUGGCCAGUGCACCUCCUAUUCCAUACCUAUAUUGAAUUAGCUGGUCUUUGGCAGGAUGAGGUGCUUACUGUGCUGUUUUUCGGGCCCUGAAAACUUCACUUAUGCUUACUCAAUCAAAUCCAACAUCACCACAUAUUAACAGCAGUCAAGAAAAUAAUGAUUUGGUUUAUUUUAUGCUUUGAAAAAGUAACAGCCAGAUGUGGUCAUCAUGCCUGUAAUCCCAGCCUGGGAUGCUGAGAUAGGGUCAUCAAAAGAAAAAAAAAGAAAAGUAACAAUCUGGAACAGGUGAAUCAAACUGACUUCAGAACCUGAAUUUAGACUACAGCACAACAAAUGUUAUUUUCAAGUGAAAAGCACUGGGUUUUAGGUAUGGAGACCUGCAGACGACACAUUUCUACAACAGGGGGAAAGGGGAAAUAAAUACUUUUUCUUCUGUGUCCUUUGUGGGUGGGAUUCAUGGAUGCACUUCCCUGCUUGGCUGCCUCAAUAGUGUGAAGGAACCCCUGUUGCAGUACAGAUUUUUUUCACCAUUGGAAGUUAAAGGUUAGUUUUCCUAAAUUUGGUCUGUUUCCUACCUUGAAGCAUAUAAUCUAGAAAUGCACAGGUCCACAGAAUAAUCUACAUAGACUCCAUCCAUAGGAAGAGACUUUCUAGCAAAGAGCCUCUUAUUAUAACUGAUAGAUGAAAUCAGAAUCACCUAAUUACAACAUUAAAGUUAAGCAGCAAAGCUUAAGGUGAUCACUGGCAAUCAAAGUACAAGAGUCCCAAAAUGGUUGAAUCCCUAAUUAGUACCUAUUUUUAAAGUAUUCGUUACCUGAAAAAGUUCUGAUACAAUUUUGUUUGACACAAAUUCCUGUUCUUUGGAAACAAUACAAAUUGGUGAAAUAACAAAUUUAGGGACAAUUUUCUGUAAGUAGGCAAGAAUCUUUAGGCACUAGCUUUUUUUUUUACUCUUAGCCAAUUGGGAAUUUUCUCCUGUGGUUCUGAAUCUUCCCCUACCAAGGCAGGGUUAUGUUUUGCCAGUUAACUAUUGUGUAAAGUGACCUAAUGAUGUACAACUACUAUUUUCAAGCAUUCUGUUUAGGACAUAAUUUUGUAAGGCUGAAGAGACAAGUUCCAGCAUUGAUGAUACAGCUAAACAUAGCAGUUUUUUAUGAUUGCCUUUGGAGUAAUUUGGCUGUUGGAAGGGGUGUUAUUGGCAUAACACUUUCCUAGUCUUGCAAUUUCCCCUUCUGUACAUGGUAAAGCACUGUACAUGUUGCUGGGCUGCAUUGCUGAAAUCCACUGCUGGAGAAGUACUAUCCUGAAGUAGGAUAACCAACUUUAGAAAGGUACCACUGGUUUCUAGCCUCAUUGAUUUUCUAAAUCAGAUUUAAGGCCCAUUUGAUGGCUAAAAUUGGCAAGUGGAGUGUUUGGGAGUAUAUAAGUUGACUUUCCAGUUUGGGCUUCUCUGCAGAAACAAUGCAUAUCUUUCAUGGAUAAUUGUGGCUUUAUCCUUUGAAAUGCCUGGUGCAUAAGUGUCUUCUGAAGUUUAAACUUAGCCAAAUUUUAGAAGUAAAAUUUUUCUACAAAUUCAGAUCUUCAGGACUUUAAUUCUUGGAGAUUGAUGCUCACACAUGACCAGCUGACCGUGCUGUUUUUAAGUGCAGUGGUGUCCAGUUACACUUACCAAUCCAUCUUAGCUAGUGGAGAUGCUUAUUUCCAUCCUGUACAAAUAGGCACUGGGUACAAUAAAACUUCCCAAAUAAGAAGAAAGUGUUGGCACCUGUUUUUUAAAUGGUGAGCCAUGAACGUGGAAAUUUGUGUUCCCUAAUGUACCUUUUGCUAUCGGUUGUCAGUUUUCCGAGGGACAUUUCAUCUGGUAAAUUGGUAGAUCUAAAGCCUGGGUACCUGUAUUUUACCUAAUUUGUGUAAUCAAUGGUAUUGUGUAAACAAUGCUGUAUGCCUAUAACUUGACCACCUACAUUCUAUAGGUAGAGUUCUCUGUCCCUUCAGUUGCCCCUUUAGGAAAAAUGUGAAAAAUAUAUGGUUUUUCAAGAUGUAUUUUAAUAUUCCCAGGUAAUUGUGAAGGCUUUUAGAGGAAAUUAUUGAAUAUAUUUCAUAGUUUUAGGUACCUUAUGGGCCUUGUUUUAAUGGAGGGGGGACAGUUUUCCUGUAAUUUGCUUUUUCUAGUGUACAUGUCUUUAGACGCCUAAAAGUAGACCCUGUAGAAGUAAUGGACACAGAGCAACAACAUAAAUAUGUAAUACAACAUUUGUUCACACAGUUGUGCCUUUGGCAAAAGAAUUCUGUCAGAAUGCUACAUAAUUUCCUUGUAGCAUUACCAUAUUAUUCAGCCACUAGUGUAUUUUGUUGUUGUGUCUUUUUUUAUUAGGCACAUGUUUAAAUAGUUUUUAGAAAUACUCUGAUAGGAUUUUCAGGCCCAAUAAUUUGUUUCCACUGUAUUUUCAGGAAUGAUAAUUUAGUGAUGUCUAUGAUGUAUUCUCCAUUUAUUUUGUACCUAUACAUCUUGUGAACUGUUGGCAAUAAGCAAUGAAUGGAGAUUUAUUAGUGCUUGAUUUUUCCAUAGUUUGGUAGUGGUACUGGUUCUUUUUCCCUUGAGAUAUUCUGGUAACAUCCUCAUUCAGUACUUCAAUGGUAGUCAACCAACAAUAAUAGUGUAAGAUUUGAGAUCAUUGUGAUUCUCAGCUAUUGUAGUAGGCUUAGAUAUAUGUUAUUGGGAGAAUGAUUUUCUUGUUAAUAGCUCAAUUUUAGCUAGGGGAUGUAUAGUGGUCAGCCUACAAUUACCUAUAAGUCCUCAAUAGUGUAAGCAAAUUGUAUACCUUUGAAGGGAUUGUCCAGGCUUGGACAGUUUUACUGAGCUAAAAGGAAUCAUUAUUAUGGAAACCUUGUCAAUUUAUCCAAAAGACACCUAGAAACAUGGUCAUGGGAAACUACCAUUAACCUACUUGAUCACAUUACUAUAAAACCAAGAAGCCUUUGGCUAAAUGUUUAUUCAUUUAUAACCUUUAUUCUCAUUUAUUGAGACAGGUAACAUUUAAAAAAUUGAUCAGUGUUAUAUAUACAGUUGCUCCUUAACAAUAAGGCCAUGUUCCCAUCAACACAUUUAAGUGAAAUGCAUUUAAUACACCUGGCCCACUUAACAUGACUUAGUAACACAGUACACUGUAGAGCAUUUGUUGUUAGACUAGUAAUCAUGUGGCUGGCUGGGAGCAGGCACAGCAUCAUGGAAUCCUGUGUAGCAUGGAUGAUUAUUUUUGCACCCUCAUAAAGCCCCAAACCUUAAUUUGAGCCAAUAUAAAUCAGGAACUAUAUGUACUACAGUAAUUGUAGUCUUCCCCUGUAUUUCCAGCUUCUUUUCACCUACUCUCUAAUGUAUAGAAGUAUGUCCAAUGUUGCUGCCUUGUGAACACAUAAUUAUUGAUAGAAAAUAAUGUAAUGAAUUGGCCCUCAACUGUUGUCCUUUUGGAAAGACAUUGGUUGGGCUGAUGAUGUAGGUUAGCAGUAAGGGUCCUGCUUUGCAUGCACAAUGCCCUGGGUUCAAUCCCCAGUUAUUUCUCUAACAAAAAAAAAAAA